CUCCUCUAGGAUUCUGAUGGAUUCCUGUCUCACGUUGAGGUCAGAGCACAGCAUUUUUAUCUGCACAAAAAAGUUUGAAAAGUCUCCAUCUCAUCACUCCUUUCUCCAUCAUUGCUUCCUCUGUGAGCGACUGAUCCUAUUCACGGCACUCAGCUGCCCCGAAAGCAUAUCUCAGAGGCUCCUGAAUGCUUACCUGUAGAUCGGAGGAGGUUGGAGACGUGGCUUUCACCCUCGGCAGUGAAGUGAGAACAAUGAGAGAAUUCAGUUGGCAAUACUUCAGAACACGGAAAAUGGACUCUGACUCUCUCAUUCUCCUUGAUUCUCUGCCAUGCACGGAUCAGACACUGUAAUGUUCGAGCAUUGAAGCUGGUGAUUUUAUACCCAUUUAACAGAAGAGUAAAUGGAGUCUCAAAGAAGUUUGAUAAUUAUUGUUGUCGUGGAUUUUGCAUUUGGCUCUGAGAUGGGAUCACAGAUUGGAGCAAACAUACUCUCUCCUUCUACUAAACCAGAAAAACCACUGGGUUUUUCUAUGAUUUGAUACUCUUCAAAUCUUUGGGUCCAGGUUCUCACAAAAGUAUGCCUAGGUUAGAGACAGUAACUAACAUGACUUCUUUGGGGAACAAAUAAGUUUUGAGCUCUAUGUAUUAAGAUCCUGUCAAUAUGCCCUCUCAAAUUAUAUGCUUCUUAAGGGAAGAAAGCUGCUUUAAUAAAAAUAGAUCCUACACGACAUGUUAUUCUUUAUAAUUGGACCAAAGAUCACAAAGAGCAUACACUUACAAGAUAAUCUGAAAAUGAACAGACAAAUAAUAUAGUAAUCACCAAAUCCUUAUUACUUGAAGCCUAUACGCGCCAGGAGGCCCUCUCUCCCUUGAUGAUCAAGCCUGACCCCUAUUAAUUUUAAUAGGAGUUAAGUAGUCACAUCAAGGGAAGUAUCAGUGAGUACUCGAAGCAAACCAACCCCGGAGAUUAAGACCUCCACUUUUGGCUUUCUGCUGAAAAUGUGACACAUCGCCUGAUGCUUAUCUGCUUUUAAUUGUGUGUUGUGUGUGUAUGUUUUUCUCCCUUCUUUUUGCAGAGGAGGCAAUUUGCAAAUCGUUGCUAUCUGCCUCCCUACAAGGAAGAGAUAAAUUAUAGGAGAGGCUGUGGUGUUUGGCCUGUUUGAUAUCCUUGGCUGAUAAAUUGAAGUGCACCUUCAUAAUUAAUACCCAAUCUUUGCGGAUCGACUGUGUUGCACUGAAGCUGGAGGGUAUCUGACUAUAAUGAAAAAUGAUUGUUGUGAUGCACCCUGUCUCUCCCCCCCUCCACUUUUUUAUCACUAUUGUCAAAAAUAUGCACAGAACAAAUCUACCAGAGUUUUGUUGGACAGCGUCAGAAAGAUCUCUUGGUUUUUAUUAAACAACAUCUUCAAAGAUUCAGCAGAGACUGACUUGAAUCUGUGAGCUUUUUAACAUAUGAGAAAGCAAUGGUGAUUCCUCUUUGGAUUCCAAUCAUGGGCUCCAGUGAAAGUUUCAGAAGAUCCCAGUGUAAGGAGUGAUGAGUGGUGUCAUGCAUUCUUAAUGAAGUAUCCUUAGCACCGAUGGACAAUCGCUCUUCUGAAUAAAAGCCAGAACAUGGUGCAACAACAGGGAAAAGUUAUAAGAGGGAUUUAAUGUAGUAAGUGGAGAGUAAUUAUUCUGAAGAAGACUACUCUCAUGGUGAGGUAGAUCUGUUGCCGUUGAGAUCUCAUCUUGGAAAGAAGAGUGAUAUUAAUUAGCUCUUCAAGCCAGAAUGUUUAGGAGAGAAUGCCUGUGUUCCUGCCGUACACAUAUAUGGAACUCAUGGGUAUGAAACGUUGGGAAUUCAAGAAUUCUUCCAGAAAAAAAGGGGUUUCUGUAUCUCCCUUUGAAAACGAAGAUCUAAUGAAUUUGUGAGUUACACAGAAAUACAUUAC